GGAUGUGAGGGCGAUCUGGCUACAACAUCUGUCACCCCAUUGAUCGCCAGCAUUGAUUCAGUUGAUCUGGCUGGCUAGGCGGGUGUCUCAUUCCUCCCUCCCUCACUGCUCCGUGUGCGUCCCUCCCAAAGUCUUGCGCUCAGUGGAAAAGGACAGUCUCCCCAGAAUAGAGACGGACUGGUCUUCGGUUGAGAGUAUAUGAGUAGCUGCACUCCCCUGCUAGAACCCCCAAAGAAGCUUAUUGCUUAGAUUAUGAUCAGAAUACUGUAGAGUCAUCAUAUCCCUUCCCCACCUUUUUUUUUUUUUCUUUAAUUCUAG
rfam:Erinaceus europaeus unplaced genomic scaffold scaffold00026, whole genome shotgun sequence